UGGGGAAUUUUCCGCAAUGGGCGAAAGCCUGACGGAGCAAUACCGCGUGAGGGAUGACGGCCUAUGGGUUGUAAACCUCUUUUUUCAGGGAGGAAUCAAUGACGUGUACCUGAAGAAUAAGCAUCGGCUAACUCCGUGCCAGCAGCCGCGGUAAGACGGAGGAUGCAAGUGUUAUCCGGAAUCACUGGGCGUAAAGCGUCUGUAGGUGGUCAAAUAAGUCAACUGUUAAAUCUUGAGGCUUAACCUCAAAAUCGCAGUCGAAACUAUUAGACUAGAGUAUAGUAGGGGUAAAGGGAAUUUCCAGUGGAGCGGUGAAAUGCGUAGAGAUUGGAAAGAACACCGAUGGCGAAGGCACUUUACUGGGCUAUUACUAACACUGAGAGACGAAAGCUAGGGUAGCAAAUGGG
rnacentral:rRNA from 1 species